rnacentral:rRNA from 1 species
GACAGAGGGUGCAAACGUUGUUCGGAUUCACUGGGCGUAAAGGGUGCGUAGGUGGUGAGGUAAGUCGGAUGUGAAAUCUCGGAGCUCAACUCCGAAAUGGCAUUGGAAACUACCUCGCUAGAGGAUCGGAGGGGAGACUGGAAUUCUCGGUGUAGCAGUGAAAUGCGUAGAUAUCGAGAGGAACACCAGUGGCGAAGGCGAGUCUCUGGACGAUUCCUGACGCUGAGGCACGAAAGCCAGGGGAGCAAACGGG